rnacentral:lncRNA from 1 species
AAGUUAAGAACUUGUUAGGACUAAUUUAAUUUUUGGUUGUCCAUUGGUGAACUUCAUAAGGGGUUCACCAAAAUUUUUUUUUUUUUUGGUUUGAUAAAUAAUAGGUUUUAAGUAAAACAAAAUUUUAAAGCAAUUUUAAAAUUAACUGGUACAAAAGAAAUUUUAUUAAAAUUGACUGCAUUACACAAAAUUUAAAACAUACAAAAUAAAGAGAUGACAUUAUGAAA